UACGUAGGGUGCAAGCGUUGUCCGGAAUUAUUGGGCGUAAAGAGCUCGUAGGCGGUUCGUCGCGUCGGCUGUGAAAUCCCGAGGCUCAACCUCGGGUCUGCAGUCGAUACGGGCGGACUGGAGUUCGGCAGGGGAGACUGGAAUUCCUGGUGUAGCGGUGGAAUGCGCAGAUAUCAGGAGGAGCACCGGUGGCGAAGGCGGGUCUCUGGGCAGUAACUGACACUGAGAGACGAAAGCUAGGGGAGCGAAUGGG
rnacentral:rRNA from 1 species